rnacentral:rRNA from 1 species
AGAGUUUGAUCCUGGCUCAGGACGAACGCUGGCGGCGUGCUUAACACAUGCAAGUCGAACGAUGAACCUGGAGCUUGCUCCGGGGAAUUAGUGGCGAACGGGUGAGUAACACGUGAGUAACCUGCCCUUGACACUGGGAUAACUUUCGGAAACGGAAGCUAAUACCGGAUAUGACGCGCGAAGGCAUCUUCUGCGCGUGGAAAGAAUUUUGGUCAAGGAUGGACUCGCGGCCUAUCAGGUAGUUGGUGAGGUAAAGGCUCACCAAGCCUAUGACGGGUAGCCGGCCUAAGAGGGUGACCGGCCACACUGGAACUGAGACACGGUCCAGACCCCUACGGGAGGCAGCAGUGGGGAAUAUUGCACAAUGGGCGAAAGCCUGAUGCAGCAACGCCGCGUGAGGGAUGACGGCCUUCGGGUUGUAAACCUCUUUUAGCAGGGAAGAAGCGAAAGUGACGGUACCUGCAGAAAAAGCACCGGCUAACUACGUGCCAGCAGCCGCGGUAAUACGUAGGGUGCGAGCGUUGUCCGGAAUUAUUGGGCGUAAAGAGCUCGUAGGCGGCUUGUCACGUCUGCUGUGAAAACCCGAGGCUCAACCUCGGAACUGCAGUGGGUACGGGCAGGCUAGAGUGCGGUAGGGGAGAACGGAAUUCCUGGUGUAGCGGUAAAAUGCACAGAUAUCAGGAGGAACACCGAUGGCGAAGGCAGUUCUCUGGGCCGUAACUGACGCUGAGGAGCGAAAGCGUGGGGAGCGAACAGGAUUAGAUACCCUGGUAGUCCACGCCGUAAACGUUGGGCGCUAGAUGUGGGGACCAUUCCACGGUUUCCGUGUCGCAGCUAACGCAUUAAGCGCCCCGCCUGGGGAGUACGGCCGCAAGGCUAAAACUCAAAGGAAUUGACGGG